GGGUGAAUUUUCCGCAAUGGGCGAAAGCCUGACGGAGCAACGCCGCGUGAGGGAGGAAGGCCUGUGGGUUGUAAACCUCUUUUCUCAGGGAAGAAGUUCUGACGGUACCUGAGGAAUCAGCAUCGGCUAACUCCGUGCCAGCAGCCGCGGUAAGACGGAGGAUGCAAGCGUUAUCCGGAAUUAUUGGGCGUAAAGCGUCCGUAGGCGGUUCAGAAAGUCUGCUGUUAAAGCUCACAGCUCAACUGUGAAUCGGCAGUGGAAACUUCUGGACUAGAGAGUGGUAGGGGUAGAGGGAAUUCCUAGUGUAGCGGUGAAAUGCGUAGAUAUUAGGAAGAACACCAGUGGCGAAGGCGCUCUACUGGGCCAUUACUGACGCUGAUGGACGAAAGCUAGGGGAGCGAAAGGGAUUAGAUACCCCUGUAGUCCUAGCUGUAAACGAUGGACACUAGGUGUUGGCCGUAUCGACCCGGUCAGUAUCGAAGCAAACGCGUUAAGUGUCC
rnacentral:rRNA from 1 species